rnacentral:siRNA from 1 species
AUCGAAGCUGUUGCAACACAACA